UGCCUUUCAUAAAGGAUAUUCUAUAGAUGGUCCUGCUGCUUGGAAAAACAAAUCAGGGAAACUAGAGACAGUACACCAAGAGUUUCAGAUAAGAUGCCUCUUGAAUGAACAUUUCUAACU